rnacentral:rRNA from 1 species
AUACGGAGGGUGCAAGCGUUACUCGGAAUCACUGGGCGUAAAGCGCGCGCAGGCGGCUAUUUAAGUUGGAUGUGAAAGCCUACGGCUCAACCGUAGAACUGCAUCCAAAACUAUUUAGUUAGAGUGUGGGAGAGGAAGAUGGAAUUAGUUGUGUAGGGGUAAAAUCCGUAGAGAUAACUAGGAAUACCAAAAGCGAAGGCAAUCUUCUGGAACACUACUGACGCUGAGGCGCGAAAGCGUGGGGAGCAAACAGGAUUAGAAACCCUAGUAGUCC